ACUCACUAGAGUAUCUUUGCAAUGUUCGCAAAACAAUAGCGCUGCCAUUUCAAGAUAUAAAUUAAGGAAAUUGAAAUGUGGAAGGACGUUUCAUUUUGUGAUGUUUGUUUUUUUUACAGUUUCAUAAAAAUUGUUAGACAAUGGAAAUAUGAAAUCUUUGUAUACAUAUAAAAGCCUUAAGGCUUAAUGAUAUCUCUAGAGCGGCGAAACGGAUCUCGAGGAAAUUUGGCAUAAACGUUGAAUACAGUGCGGAAGGACACAUAGGCUAGCUACACUCCUGGAAAUGUAUACGGCUCCCGUGGGAUACAUUUGAUUAUCAUAUUUACUCCAUAACUGAGCAACGUUGUUACUCACCUGCGGCCCGGGCCUCCUUGCAAGCAAGCACCAUACUGUGGCGAACGUCGGGGUU